UACGGAGGGUGCGAGCGUUGUCCGGAAUCAUUGGGCGUAAAGGGCGCGUAGGUGGCCCGGUCAGUCUUUGGUGAAAGCGCGGGGCUCAACCCUGCGUCGGCCAGGGAUACUGCCGCGGCUCGAGCACUGUAGAGGCAGGCGGAAUUCCGGGUGUAGCGGUGGAAUGCGUAGAGAUCCGGAGGAACACCGAUGGCGAAGGCAGUGUUCUGGGCCAGUACUGACGCUGAGGAGCGAAAGCGUGGGGAGCAAACAGG
rnacentral:rRNA from 1 species